AAAGAUUAUGAUCCCCUAUCAGCUCACAAGGGGGCUGCCAAACUGCCAGCGUAAGGGGACAAACGGGUGGCAACGCGUGGCGAGGGACAGCUGGAAGGGCCUGGAGCUCCUGCGUGGCCCUGGGUCAGCUUUAAGCCGGCCACGAACCCGCACCCUCACCUCCAGCCGAAACCUCCGGGGUCACCGGGGGUCCCAACGCCACCCCUCCGAGGCAGGACCCGCCCCCGUCUUCCCUGCUGCUAGAGACCGGACCGGCCCCACGCCGGACCCAAGGGGCCGACCUGCACAUGACGGUGUUGGAGAGGAGUGGGGUGGCUGCCGGUGCUGCGUGCGAAGGGUGAGCUCAUCGCCACCACCCUGCACGUGCCCGUGUGCAGCAGCGACAGCCACGCUUCGAUGGCAGCCCCCAGAGCCCCGCUGACUUCAGCACGUCACCUCAGCUGGUGAGCGUAUAAAGAUGUUCCUACCACAUAAACAAGGAAAAGAAGAGUCCAGUAACAUAAGAGAGAAGGGGUGAACUUGCAGGCCCUUCAGCACCUCCCAGAAGGAAUGCACUGGAGCCAGCUUGAUUCUGACCCACCCCUGCUCUUUCUUAGCCUCCUUCCAACAGUAUGUGCAUUUUGCAA